UAUGUUUUCUAUGUCCGUUUCUACUUACAACUCCAGGCUUUCCCUUCACACGUGCUCCAGAGUUGUCUGAGUUGCUUCCUGAGGACUUUCUACCCAUGCUCUGCCCAACGGUGUUUGGAGGUAAUUUGCUGGAGGAAUAGGAGAGAAACCAGGAAAUGCUUCAGGUUACAUCCUCCAUCACCACCUCCCUGCAGAAACACGCCUCUAGAGGAUGGAGCUUGGUGACAAGGAGGAGAAAACCCAGCCCGCGAAUGAAGGGGAUUUCAGCUCUCACUCAGACCCUGGUCAGGAAAACAGAGCACAUUGUUUGUGAUGGCAGCCUCCACCAAAACGGCUCAGGGGCCAAGUUAAGGCUAAGGAAGAAAUUCAGCCUUCCCAGUGAUGAGAGAUCUGUGUGCUUUCUUCCCUUGCUUCCACUGGUUUCUGUGCAUGCAGUGCUCUGCUUGCUGCAGCCACAUCAUCUGCAAGGUCCCAUUCCCCUUUCUGUCCCAAAGGGGUUGGUGACACAGCCUCUAAUCCUCAAACUGAACAUCUUCAGGGCUGGAAGACUGAAAAUCCCUUCCCUGAACUGUGAGAGAAUCCUGCCUUGCUGGGGAGUUGUUCACAGGCAAAGCGGUUUUUACUGCGUCCAUCAGACGACUUUGGAAAUCAGAUGCAGGAAACAGAUUCAAUGGCUAAUGAUUUGUUUUCCAUCUAUUUAACCUUUGUCAGCGGAUAAACUACAAGGAGUGACAGGACCUGGAUGCAGAGUCCUUGCACACUUAAGCACAUGUGUAAACCUGACUUCUGUUCGAUCUAAGCCUCUGUCUCACAUAAUGCAGGUAGGAUUAGGGGUGUUCACUGUCAAAGCACCUCAGGCAGGAAGGGUUAUGUUUGUGAUGCAGUCAUGGUGGGGAAUACCCAGACGUCUUUGUUCAGCUCUUCUUCACUGUGGUUUCCUGCCUAUGCAGAAACUGGAAUUGAUGCAAUGAGUCAAAGCAAACACAGACUGAACCAUGGGGUUUCUUGCUAUAGAUGGAAACUGACCUCAAAGAGGAUUGCAGCCAAACCAUCCGUUUGCAGGUGAACUCAAACCAGAACGAAGCUCUGAAGCACGGUGAGUAAAUAAGAGUUUAAGCUGCUUCGCACUGCCCAGAUCCUCUCAGAUGGGGAGCCACAGGGCUCCUGACAUGUGGGGUCCCCUAGAGGGGACAUGGCACCUCCCCUUCUUGGCUGCUGGGCAGUGCUGCGCUGUUGGGGUUAGUGGUUGGGAGCUUUCAUUGCUGUCGUUCCCACUGCUCAGCUGUGGAACGAGGGAUGUUGCACAUGCACAAGAGAUCCCCACGGGCUGCAGGAAAACAAUAAGCAGCCCAGGCUGAGUAGGAAGUGGAUGGAAGCCCAACCCAGCAAAGUGACAAGUGAAGCAUUCAGCCUUGGCUUGACCAUGCACCAGUGAUGCUGAUAGCUGGGCUAUCGCCCGUUGCAGCAGGCUUAGGCCAGUCCUGGGAGAAACGCAGUCCUAGAGCAAUGCAUGGCUUGUUCAAGCCCUUUUUCCUCACACAGCCCCUGCUCCCCCUGUAUCCCCUUUUUUUUUCCAGGCGAAUCCCACCCAUAUGUCACAUAACUCCCAUUUUGAAUAGCUGUGUCAGUGCCUCCAAACAGUGACUUCCUGUUCAGUCCAAGGGUUUUUUCCUCCUUUCCCUGGAGCUCAAUAGCAGACAAGAACAUCCCAAAGGCACCUGAUAAAGAUCAUUUCCAAGUCCUCAGAUGCAAUAAAAAGAAAACCAAACACAGUGCUGGAACAAAUGGAGGAGGAGGGAAGGAGGGACGAUUUCUCCCUCUGUUCAGGUCAUUGCUUUGGGCAGAACCAGCUCAGGAAUAAGAAAGAACGGAACUGGAUUAUGAAGAUUUCCAUUCACUUCUAUGACUGGAUAUCACUUAAUGUUGUGUAGCUUUGCAGGGACAGGAUAGCUCCCUCCUCCUGGCUUUUUCUUCUGAUCCUCAGUUACGUUUCACAGUGAUACUGGAUUGUAGGAUCAAAAGCUACAUUGCAUUGGACACCUAAAAACCUGAGUUUAGUCAAAUGAAGCCUAAGACUAGUUCCCCGUUUUGCAUGUUCAGAACUAACCUCUACCUGAGGUCAGCUGCCUCCUCAUAGGAGAAACCUCAGCAUCUUUAAACUCACUUUACAUUGACGUGGGGCAGGAAAAUAUAAUUUGUAAGUUUUGGUCCUGAGACAGAUCCUAUGAAAUAUA